ensembl:rRNA nuclear encoded rRNA 5S 150
GUCUAUGGCCAUACCACCCUGAACAUGCCCUAUCUUGUCUGAUCUCGGAAGCUAUGCAAGGUUGGGUCUGGUUAGUACUUGAGAGAAAUAUUGGUUUCAUGUAGU